UGCUCCAGUGAGAAUGAAGGCUGAGGUGUGCGCCUUUUUCUUUCUCUUGUCUUUCUUUUUUUCUUUUUUGGGAUGGAUCAUGUGGACAUCACUGGGCAUGGAAGAAACCUAGUGAGUGUAUGGUGGCUGCUUUGUAAGUCUCAAAGUGCAUAUCGUGGGAUCUUCACAGCACAGUUCCCUGGAAGGUGGAGCCAUCAGCUUCUGCCUGAUGGAGAAAGUAGUCAAAGUGAAGAGUGUGGACAAACUGGAUCAGAAGACAAUCGAUUGAGGCCAGCCCAUCAGCUGUGGACUCUGGCCCAUUUCCCCUUGAGUGUGAAUUGAGACGACUUCAGAGGAAGGCCCUGCAUAUGAAAUCCUGGGUCCAGAUGACGGCCUGUGAGCCCUGUUUGAAAAUGCUAGCUCACUGGACACGAAACGGGAAGCUGGUUUUCCUGACCGACUCGUGGGCACUGUCCCACCUGGGUGUCACACAACCAGCCUCCUCAGCUUGCAGAAAGCUUGUUUUCCCACCGCCACUGAAAGAUGGUACCUUUUAGAGAAAAUGAAAGCAAUAAUAGCUUGUCACAAUUAUAGCAAGAGCCACGAGCCCAAGAGAAGCUUUGCUCUCAGUGGCCCGGAGCCCUACAGCGAAUCCUUCAGAGAAUGGCAUGCCCUCCCCAACAUUCUUCACACCAGCGGCAGAAGCCUGCUGGUGACAGCCAGCCCUCCUUAGAGGUUUUGGCCCCACACUGGUUGGAAACACACGAAUAACUGGGAGAUGAAACAGGAAGCUCUUUGACACAGUUUUUCGAAAAUGACACAGACAGAAAAGUCAGGACUGGCCCCUUCCAGCUCCUCUACCUGCUGCUUGCUGGUUGCAGCCGAAGGCAGGUGAAGGUUUCUCUCUGGGACUGCAAUUUAGCUGCCUCCUGUUCCCUGGUGAUGGACCUGUUAUAUAUCAUCCUGCCCCGGUCCUGCUGGUCUUCCAUUGCUAUGGCCAGCCUCCUGUGUCUUGAUCCUUUCUCCUUCAAUAAAAGCAACUACAGAAAACAGAAUGGUCCACUU